rnacentral:rRNA from 1 species
CCUACGGGAUGCAGCAGUGGGGGAUAUUGCACAAUGGGGGAAACCCUGAUGCAGCGACGCCGCGUGGGCGAAGCAGUAUUUCGGUAUGUAAAGCCCUAUCAGCAGGGAAGAAGAAAUGACGGUACCUGAGUAAGAAGCACCGGCUAAAUACGUGCCAGCAGCCGCGGUAAUACGUAUGGUGCACGCGUUAUCCGGAUUUACUGGGUGUAAAGGGAGCGUAGACGGCCAUGCAAGCCAGGGGUGAAAGCCCGGGGCCCAACCCCGGGACUGCCCUUGGAACUGUGCGGCUAGAGUGCGGGAGGGGCAGGCGGAAUUCCUGGUGUAGCGGUGAAAUGCGUAGAUAUCAGGAGGAACACCGGCGGCGAAGGCGGCCUGCUGGACCGCGACUGACGUUGAGGCUCGAAAGCGUGGGGAGCGAACAGGAUUAGAUACCCUAGUAGUC